AGUGAACGCUGGCGGUAGGCCUAACACAUGCAAGUCGAACGGCAGCACAGUAAGAGCUUGCUCUUACGGGUGGCGAGUGGCGGACGGGUGAGGAAUACAUCGGAAUCUACUUUUUCGUGGGGGAUAACGUAGGGAAACUUACGCUAAUACCGCAUACGACCUACGGGUGAAAGCAGGGGAUCUUCGGACCUUGCGCGAUUGAAUGAGCCGAUGUCGGAUUAGCUAGUUGGCGGGGUAAAGGCCCACCAAGGCGACGAUCCGUAGCUGGUCUGAGAGGAUGAUCGGCCACACUAGAACGGGGACACGGUCCAGACUCCUACGGGAGGCAGCAGUGGGGAAUAGUGGACAAUGGGCGCAAGCCUGGUCCAGCCAUACCGCGUGGGUGAAGAAGGCCUUCGGGUUGUAAAGCCCUUUUGUUGGGAAAGAAAAGCAGCAGGUUAAUACCCCGCUGUUCUGACGGUACCCAAAGAAUAAGCACCGGCUAACUUCGUG
rnacentral:rRNA from 1 species